rnacentral:rRNA from 1 species
UGCCGCGGUGAAUACGUUCCCGGGCCUUGUACACACCGCCCGUCACACCAUGGGAGUUUGUAACGCCCAAAGUCGGUGGCCUAACCUUUAUGGAGGGAGCCGCCUAAGGCGGGAUAGAUGACUGGGGUGAAGUCGUAACAAGGUAGCCGUAGGAGAACCUGCGGCUGGAUCACCUCCUUUCUAAGGAA